UACGUAGGGGGCGAGCGUUGUCCGGAGUUACUGGGCGUAAAGCGCACGCAGGCGGUCUGCUAAGUUUGGAGUGACAGUUGGUGGCUUAACUGCCAAAGUGCUUCGAAAACUGACAGACUUGAGGGCUUCAGAGGGACACGGAAUUCCGGGUGGAGUGGUGAAAUGCGUAGAGAUCCGGAGGAACACCAAAGGCGAAGGCAGUGUCCUGGGGAGUACCUGACGCUGAGGCGCGAAAGCUAGGGGAGCAAACAGG
rnacentral:rRNA from 1 species